CUACUACUCCCUCCAUCCGAAAAUACUUGUCAUUGAAAUUGAUGUAUCUAGAUGUAUUUUAGUUGUAGACACAUCCAUUUUCAUGACAAGUAAUUCCGGACAGAGGGAGUAUUAU
rnacentral:pre_miRNA from 1 species